ACCCUAUUCCUUUGGAUGAUCAUCAUGCUGAAGGCUUCUCGGAUAGCUCGAGCUCCGAGCCAGAAGUCAACAACCAACCUCCUGAAGCCCCGAACCCUAACCCCCGACCGGCAUUUCAGGGCCCCACUCCUAUGUGGGCAAUGUCCUUGCAUCGAUGGAGCGAGGAGCAGGGUCAGCCCUUGCCUUACAAUGGAGACCGAAGUUUCUACAACAUAAGCGAAGGAGGAUCAGCAGAUCGGGUUCUGCCCAUCAUGAUCCGAAGAAUUGCCAGGAAUGUUGAGCAAAGUCAAGCUGCCAUUGGUCGAGUUGUAGAAGUGGAUGCCAACUCAAACCUCAACACUGUUCGCAUCCGCCAACUCGAAGAAGCCAUGGACAGGACAAGGAGGACCAACGAGGCUCUGCAGCAUCAGCUGGCUGCAUCCCGAGCUGAAGUUAGGGAACUCCGAGCACGCCAAAGGACUCAUGAUCGACACCUUCAAGAAGUUAUGCGUCAACUGGAGGAUCUGAGGAUUCGCCCGACAAGCAACCGUCGCCAGUAGAAGACAUCUAGUUACCUCACUCUUUUGUUUAAAGGACUAGCCUUUUAUCUCUAUGUUCCGUAGGUCUCUUGUCUGUAAACAUUCCUAGCUUAAAAGUACUCUAGUUAAACCUCUAAACUGCCAACAUUUUCUCUAUGGUAUGAUGUAAGACCUACUGUUAGGUCAAUUUUCAUGAACUUGUGUUGCAUCAUUAAUACCAAUGUAGUUGCAGUUGAUUUCUUUAUUGCUAGGACUCUCAUUCUGAUCUUGGAUUAUGUUGAUUUAAUCCAUGAAACACUCUAUUCAUAUUCGCAAUAGACUCUUACUAUUGCCAUCAUUUCUAUGGUUUUCUAGUGAAAGAUGCCUCCUCGAAAGCGUCCAAGCCGAGGAAUACCAGCAACUCAAACCCCUCCUCUACCACCUCCUCCUCCGCAGUUCGAUCCGGUGUUGUUCCAAACGGCUAUGACUGUGGCUGUAACAGCAGCCAUGGCCCAAAUGAACUCGGGUGAUGCGAGCGGUGGGAAUUCUAGAUUUGGUGAAGUCCACCAACGAGUGCAGGGAUGCACUUAUAAGGACUUCAUGAAUUGUAAACCUACUUUAUUUGAUGGUACCGGAGGAAUUCUGGCAUUGUCCCAAUGGUUCAAAAGAACCGAAGCUGUAUUCGAGAUGUGCUCUUGUCCCGAAGAGAGCAAAAUCAAGUUCGCUACUGCUACCUUCACUAACAGGGCUUUGUCAUGGUGGAACGGCCAUGUCAACGCACUCUCCUUGGUCACAGCCAAUGCCAUGGGCUGGGACACUCUAAAAGAUCUUAUGAGAGGAGAGUACUGCCCUAGGGGCGAAGUUCAGAAGCUUGAGGAAGAACUCUGGAACCUCAAGAUGAAAGGGACUGACAUAACGGCUUACACUGCCAGGUUUUGCGACUUGGCGGCUAUGUGUCCCGAUAUGAUUCCGUCCGAAAGCAAGAAGAUUGAACGGUACAUCUGGGGUUUAGUGCCCCCGUAUCGAGGAAACGUUCUGGCCUCACGCCCCACCACUUUUGACAGUGCCAAGGAAUUGGCCCAGAGUCUGAUUAACCAUGAAGUCUCCUCCACUCCAUCAACAGCAACCACAACAACCACUGCACCACUCGAUUCAUCUGACAGAAAAAGGAAACGAUGGGAUAAGAAGAAAGGCAAGAAAACUCAAACCACCUACAAAGACCAACAGAUCGUGGCGGUCCAUGCUGCUACCACUCCAACUGCUCCAGCCCCGCCAAAAGCUUACAGUGGAAACUUGCCCAAGUGUCCCAAAUGCCUAUUCCACCACAACAGCCCAUGCCGUGAACUGCAGUGUUCCAACUGCGGCCAAAAGGGCCAUACUGUCCGAUUUUGCAAGGCCCCUCCCAAACCUAUCACACAGGUUCCUGGUACGGGAGUGACCCCGACUUGUUAUGGCUGCGGUGAAGCGGGCCAUUUUAAGAAGAACUGUCCGAAGGCUGCAAAUGCUGGGGGAACUGGAAGGUUACUUGCUAUCGGUCACAAUGAAGCGGUAGCCGAUCCCACGGUGGUCACGGGUACGUUUCUUCUCAACAACUCUUAUGCCUGUGUCUUAUUCGAUAGUGGUGCAGAAAGAAGCUUCAUAAAUCAAAACUUUAAACACUUACUCAAACAAACCCCUCAACCACUAAAAGAAACAUUCGUUGUAGAAAUGGCUAAUGGGAAGACAGAAAGCUCUAAUGAAAUCUAUAUAGGUUGUACUCUCACGUUAGAUGAUCACCCCUUUUUAAUCGAUCUUAUACCAGUCUCAAUCAAAAAUUUCGAUGUCAUUGUUGGUAUGGAUUGGCUAAGCCUUCACUACGCCGACAUCCUAUGCUCCGAGAAAGCCAUUCGCCUGAACUUUCCGAAUCGAGAGACCCUAUUGAUAUACGGAGAUAAGCCAAGUACAAACCUUCGUAUCAUCUCUAGUAUUCAGGCUCAGAAAUACUUGCGCAAGGAAUAUCGCGCCUUUCUUGCUCACGUCGUCGACACUAACCAGAAAUCGAAAGAUCCAAAAGACAUUCCUGUAGUAUGCGAUUUUCCUGAUGUCUUUCCGGAGGAUCUUCCAGGCCUACCUCCCAAACGACAGGUUGAAUUCAGAAUCGACCUAAUCCCAGGAGCUACCCCCGUAGCUAAGUCGCCCUACCGUCUAGCGCCCGCCGAAAUGCAAGAACUAUCCGGUCAACUCAACGAACUGCUCAGCAAGGGCUUUAUAAGACCGAGCUUCUCACCUUGGGGAGCUCCGGUCUUGUUCGUGAAGAAAAAGGAUGGGUCGUUUCGGAUGUGCAUCGAUUAUAGGGAACUCAAUAAACUCACGAUCAAAAAUCGCUAUCCUCUCCCUCGUAUCGACGACCUAUUCGACCAACUCCAAGGAGCCAGUUACUUCUCCAAGAUUGAUCUUAGAUCGGGGUAUCACCAAUUACGGGUGCUUGAGGAAGAUGUUCCAAAGACAGCCUUCCGAACCCGCUACGGGCAUUUUGAGUUCGUAGUGAUGCCCUUUGGACUGACUAACGCCCCCGCAGUAUUCAUGGACUUGAUGAAUAGGGUAUGUCGUCCAUAUCUAGAUCAGUUCGUCAUCGUCUUUAUUGACGACAUACUCGUCUACUCUCGGAGCGAGGAAGAGCACAGAAAUCAUUUACGAUUAGUCCUGGAAACCCUGCGAUCCGAGAAGUUGUAUGCGAAGUUCUCUAAGUGCGAGUUUUGGAUCCGAAGAGUUGAAUUCUUAGGGCACGUGGUCAGUGAAGACGGAAUCCACGUGGACCCCUCCAAAAUCAAAGCUAUUGAGAACUGGUCAGCACCAAAGACGCCUACGGAAAUUCGUCAAUUUCUAGGCCUCGCUGGCUACUACCGUCGAUUCAUCCAAAAUUUCUCUCGGAUUGCGAAACCUCUCACCAUGCUAACACAGAAGGGUGUAUCAUUCGACUGGGAAGAGAAACAGGAGAAGGCAUUUCAGACCCUGAAGCGAGCCCUAUGCACCGCACCAGUAUUAUCCCUUCCCGAAGGGACAGAAGAUUUCGUCGUAUACUGUGAUGCAUCCAAUCAGGGGCUCGGUUGUGUCUUGAUGCAACGAGGCAAGGUUAUCGCCUAUGCCUCGAGACAGCUAAAGAACCAUGAAGUGAACUACACUACUCACGACCUCGAGUUAGGAGCGGUCGUCUUCGCACUAAAAAUCUGGAGACACUACUUGUAUGGGACGAAGAGCGUGGUGUACACUGAUCAUAAAAGCCUCCAACAUAUACUGAACCAAAAAGAACUCAACAUGAGACAGCGUCGAUGGGUCGAGUUACUUAACGAUUACGACUGUGAAAUUAGAUAUCAUCCGGGGAAAGCCAACGUAGUAGCUGACGCCCUGAGCAGAAAGGAAUAUUCCGGACGAAGGACCAAGUCGUUGACAAUGACUAUACAUUCACAUCUAUCCACGCAGAUCAAAGAGGCUCAGCUGGAAGCCUUAAAGCCUGGAAACGUGACGGGAGAAUCCCUGCGCGGAAUGGAUAAAAAUCUGGAGGUUAAGGGUGACGGAGCCUAUUACUUCAUGGACCGAAUCUGGACUCCACGCCAUGGAGGUUUCAGAGAUUUGGUUAUGAGGGAAGCACACAACACUCGUUACUCCGUCCACCCGGGUUCAGAUAAGAUGUAUCUGGAUCUCAAAAAGCUAUACUGGUGGCCGAACAUGAAAGCGGAGAUCGCUACCUUUGUAAGUAAGUGCCUUACUUGCGCGAAGGUCAAAGUCGAAUGUCAAAAGCCAUCAGGACUCCUCCAACAACCGGAAGUACCAGAAUGGAAGUGGGAGCGAAUCACAAUGGACUUUAUCACCAAGCUGCCCAAGACAGCAGGUGGAUUAGAUACCAUUUGGGUCAUCGUUGACAGGUUGACCAAGUCUGCACACUUCCUACCCAUCAAGGAGACGGACAAGAUGGAGAAGCUCACUAGAACAUACAUAAAAGAAAUAGUGCGACUGCAUGGCGUCCCUAUAUCUAUUAUAUCAGACAGAGAUAGUAGAUUCACCUCUAGAUUUUGGCAAUCAUUGCAAAAGGCACUAGGGACGAGGCUGGACAUGAGUACAGCCUACCAUCCGCAGACUGACGGACAAAGUGAGAGGACGAUCCAAACCUUAGAAGACAUGCUGCGAGCUUGUGUGAUCGACUUCGGGAAAUCGUGGGAUACACACUUGCCUCUUGUGGAGUUUUCCUACAACAAUAGUUAUCAUACGAGCAUCAAGGCAGCUCCAUUCGAAGCCCUCUACGGCCGGAAGUCCAGAUCCCCUUUGUGCUGGGCUGAGGUGGGUGACACUCAGUUAGCUAAAGGACGAGUUCCUGACAGCGCCCUCACUGGUCUGGAGAUCAUUUGAGAGACGACCGAGAAGAUUGUACAGAUACGUGAAUGACUAAAAGCCGCUAGGGAUCGACAGAAAAGCUACGCCGACAAACAAAGAAAACCCUUGGAAUUCCAGGUGGGAGACCGAGUCCUUUCGAAGGUCUCGCCCUGGAAGGGCACGAUACGCUUUGGAAAGCGUGGAAAGUUAAACCCAAGGUACAUAGGGCCUUUCGAGAUUCUCGCCAGAAUCGGCCCCGUAGCUUAUAAACUCAACUUACCCCACGAACUAAACAACAUACAUCCUACCUUCCACGUCUUAAACUUGAAGAAAUGUCUGUCUGACGAGACUCUCGUGAUUCCCCUUGACGAAAUCAAAGUCAAUGAGAGCCUCAACUUCGUGGAAGAGCCUGCGGAAAUUAUGGAUCGAGAAGUAAAACGAACGAAGCAAAGCCGCAUCCCAAUCGUGAAGGUUCGGUGGAAUGCCAAGCGGGGACCGGAAUUCACUUGGGAGCGCGAGGAUCGAAUGAAACUCAAAUAUCCUGAUCUCUUUGCUUAGUAGUAUUGUAAUAACUUAUCUGUUUAAAUUCUAAAUUUGGGGAGGAAAUUCCCCUAACGGGGUGAUGAUGUGACAACCCAAACUUUCUGCCGUUACAAAUUCCGUCCGCACUAACGGAAUUCGUCAUUAUAUACUAUUUUUUGUAAUGUUUGGAGUCGUCAAUUAACAAACAUCUAGAUAAGUUAUAUGUCAUGAUAUUAUUAUAAGUAAUUAUAACUCGUAAAUGUUAACCCUGUUUAACUAAAUAGAGUUGUAUUACUUUUCAACCACUUCACCCAGGUAAAAAGUUUUAACCCGUUAAACUUUAGCAUCGGGUAGCCGUGUAUCGGGUGCAAUACCCGAGGCAUAUGAAAUGAGUGUAAACAACAUUUGAACACUCUUUUACCACACAUUCACUCUCUCUCACUACUUUCUCUCUCUAGACCCGAACCCGACUCCAAAACCGCGAAUUCCGGCUUCCAAACGUAAGGAUUUAUUCCCUAUCUUAUUCUAAACAUACUUCAUUGUAAUUAGAGGCCAAAAAUCAUAGAAAAUAAAGAUCAAAAGGGAUUUUACGGCCUAAGAAGCCCCUUAGGCCGUAAACACCUAAAACUUUGCCAAAAGCCCCAUUUUUCCUUCCUUUAAGCUUGGAUACUAAUUAAGGGAUUUACCUAGGGGAGUUUGGACAUUAAAACAUAAGAAAUUGAGGCCUAAAAAGGAGUUUACGGCCCAAGCUUAUGCUUAGGCCGUAAACACCCAAAAACCUUGGAUUUAAGUCCCAAAAACUCAUCUAGGGCAUGUAGUAAUUUAGUCUUGACACUAGGAAAUGUUUAAGUGCAUUAAACAACACCAUUUGAGGACAAAAAGAGGAGUUUACGGCCAAGUCUAAGCUUGAGCCGUAAACACCCAAAUUUUAUGUCAAACAAGUCCCAAAAACCUAUCUAGGGCAUGUAAGGAAAUUAGUUAAGACCCUAGGAAGUGUGUUGUACCAUUAAACAUCUCAUUUUGAAGCCAAAAGAAGAGUUUACGGCCAAGGCUAUACUUGGGCCGUAAACUCCCCAAUUUUUAUGCCAAAAUGUCCCAAAACUCCAUCUAAGGCCUUCUAGAAUUUAUCUAAGGUGAAGGGAAGUGUGUUGUACCAUUUAAACAUCCAUUUUGAGGGAUUAAAUGGAGUUUACGGCCCAAGCACAAGUCUUGGCCGUAAACUCCCCAAAAUGUCACAAAAUGAGGGUUUAAACCCUCCAUAUUAGUUCAAGACACUUGCUAGUAAAUUAGGGAAGUGAAAUAAGGCCUUAAACUUGCAUUUUGGAGGACCACAUGAGUUUACGGCCAAGCCUAGGGGGCUUACGGCCGUAAACUCCCAAGGAGUGGCCUUUGGGCCGUAAACUCCAAGGGAGUGAGCUCAUGGACCCUCCCGUAAAUCUUUCUUGGCCUUGUACCACUCCCGGGAACCCCUUCUAGGCCUUAAAACCCCGAAACGAUGCUAGAAUGCCCAAAUACUUUAACGAAAAGCAUAAAAUGUCUAAUUUAUUGUAAAAUACAUAUUUCAUAUGAAUCUAGGGUCCUAAAAAGGUGCUCAAGUCGUUAUUUGGUACCAAACGCUCAACCGACACUUUUACCCGAUUUACCCGAUUCACCCGAUUUACGCGAUUUCAGGUGAGUUCAUACCCCUUUAAUGAACCUUUCAAAUGUUUUAUAUGUUUUGGGGGGGGAUACAAGUCAAUUAUACAUGUUUAUGGAAAUUCAUACAAGUCAUUUAUUCAUGUUACGGAAAUUAAUCACAUGUGAUUCACUAUCCGUAGUUCAAAUCACAUGUGAUUUACCACUAUGCUUUAUAAAAAGGAUUUUCGUUUUCAAAACCAUUUCGGAUAAAAUAUCAAUUUUCUAAAUAUUCCCUUUUGACAAGAUUUUUAUUAAGUAAAUUCCUUAUAAAAUGUAACCACACCAAUAUAUUAUAUAAAUAAGGCUUGAAGGACUUAAGACCGAUAGCUCGCCUUAAUUCCUGUUCUUGUUUGAUUGUGGGCUUAGGGUAGUUGGUAUCCGUCCGACUGUCGUUGAUUUCUUACUUAUUUAUCAUAUAUAUUUGUGUUGGAUAUGAGUAUUUUCAUUUCAUUAAAUGUUUAAACCACAAGAUUGACAAGAAUCAUAUGCUCUAAGUUAACUAUAAUAGGUAUAGUUAAGGCCACUAUUACUCGCUAUAGCCACUACUCUACACACUAUAAUACACUCUAUAAUGAUACUAUAUACUAAUACGAGAACAUACUAAGAGUAUACAAAAGACUACUACGCUAUAAUACAAGAGAAAACACUAAUCAAGAGAUAACACACUAACCCACUACGAGAUAUUCUAUUCGCUACGUAGUACGCCCAUAGUCUUCUGGCAGGAAGACGACGCUAUAUGUAUAGAUCUAUAUGGAGCAGACGCUAUUACAUCCUGACUGAUAACUUCAGUCCGAGCCGUACAGGCCCAGGGAUGCCGCUACUUCACUACACUGUGUAUGACCGGGAAGGUCAUGGGGUCCUCUAUUACUCACACUAUUGGUAACAUACAGGAAAUACACUAUAACCACACUAAAAUACUAGACAACAGUUAAAGUUAAUAUCCCGAAGAAAUCAAGUAUCUAAUACUAAAGAAAGUCUGCACCACUAUUAUGGAUUUCAGGCAUAACCUACCGUAUUGCAUUACAUAUGGGGAACCCACUAUUAUACUGAUACAAUGAAUGCUUUCUUCAAUGAUGAAAAUUACAUGUUUCUUAAAGGUUUUCACUUACAAAGUAUUUCUGGAAAAUAUAGGAUUUUCUAGGUUUUUCUACUACUUAUGAAUGUAAAUUACAGCUUUCCAUACUAUCGGUUCUAAUGCUUUUUAUACAAAAACUCACACUAAACUCUUAUGAACUCACCAGCUUUAUGCUGAUAUUCGUUUUCAAAAUAACUUGUAUCCUCAGGUCAAAGAUAGACAGGUACAGGUGCAGCAUUUUGGAGAAGGUGGAGCAUACAAGAUCCAUCUCUUAUUUUUGUAAUACUUUUGGUGAUUGUUAAACAUUACAAAACACACUUGUAAUUAAACUCACUAUGUAAUGCAAUGGUUGUAUGUUUCUUGUUUUUACUAUUAUGCAAUUGUGAUGAUACUGUACAUGACGUCCUCCACCCCGAAACGUAUUCCACCGUUAUCGGUUUUGGGGUGUGACAAAUUGGUAUCAGAGCAUUGUUUAUAGUGAAUCAAGUAUAUCAACCUAUAAAAGAUAUACAAACUAUAAACACUUCGGGACUAAAACACUCUGACCAAGAAUAUAUACUGUUAAGUAUCUAAAAGAUCUAACUAAGUAUAUAUAUACACACAUCACUAUAAAACACAGAAAUCAGUAUCACUCUAGAACAGAACAAAAGUAUUAAGAUUGUUGGGCAGCACAAUUGGGCUUAGAGACAUAUAGUCACAUUCAGGGUGAUGUAGCCUGAUCAACUACGUUUUCCUGAGAGUGACUAGCAUGUGCCUAAGUUUGGUUGUGAUGUUGCAACAAGUCUAAAACUUACCAACAAUACCACAAUAACGCUACCAUAAGAAUACUAUAGGAGUAUUCUGUAUCUCUAGAUUAUACGUAUGUGUUAACAAAAAGGGUCGUUACUAGUAGGACAAUAGUUGCUAAGUGGAUACACCACGAUUACAUGUGAUUAGGGCGCUAUAGACUCAGAAUCUGCAGCCUUUGCUUCAUUCCCUGUUCUUGUUUGAUUGGGGGUCUGAAGUUAGGGUGGUUUAUUCGAAGGACUAUCUUGCUUCGGUUACAUGUAAUCGGUAUGCACUAUGCAAGUAUUGGGUCAACUAGUAAUGAUUCAUCCUAUAAGUAUCUUAGAAUAGUACGUCUAUUAAUCUUCUUUUCCCCUUUCUCGCGUAGAUAGCAUGGCUGGCUUCCACCUACCCGGUGAUCCGUACUUUCCGAACCAGGGCAAUGGAGGAUGGCUCGAAGAGGAGUCAGACGAUGAUCACCCGAUCCCUUUGGAUGAUCAUCAUGCUGAAGGCUUCUCGGAUAGCUCGAGUUCCGAACUAGAAGUUAACAACCAACCUCCUGAAGCCCCGAACCCUAACCCUCGUCCGGCAUUUCAGGGCCCCACCCCUAUGUGGGCAAUAUCCUUGCACCGAUGGAGCGAGGAGCAGGGUCAGCCCUUGCCUUACAAUGGAGACCGAAGCUUCUACAACAUAGGCGAAGGAGGAUCAGCUGAUCGGGUUCUACCCAUCAUGAUCCGAAGGAUUGCCAGGAAUGUUGAGCAAAGUCAAGCUGCUAUUGGUCGAGUUGUAGAAGUGGAUGCCAACUCAAAUCUCAACACUGUUCGCAUCCGUCAGCUCGAAGAAGCCGUGGACAGGACAAGGAGGACCAACGAGGCUCUGCAGCAUCAGCUGGCUGCAUCCCGAGCUGAAGUUAGGGAACUCCGAGCACGCCAAAGGACUCAUGA
rnacentral:lncRNA from 1 species